rnacentral:misc_RNA from 1 species
AACGCACGAGACCUGCGGACCUGCGGAGGGAUCAUUGACAAAUCUUUAAAAUAUUUGACAUUGGUUCAGGGUAAAACUUGUACCUAAUGUUAAUAUAUUUACCCGGAGCCGGUUUGGCUCGGUCAAUUUUGUAAGGAUCUUCCUUACGAAAUUGUCAAUUGAGCUAUUGAAGUGAAAUAUAUUCAAUAGCACAUAAACUCGAUUGUAUUUUGUUUGACAGUGUAUUAUUUAAUUGUAUUU